rnacentral:lncRNA from 1 species
UGGACUUGUAUUAAAUUGAUCCAAAUUUGUGUCUCAUCCUUCUCUUUGGGUUUCCUUGUGUUAGCUUCAACCCAAACGUCUUGGAUCAAUCCAUUGAGAUCUUGUUUGAACCUUUUAGUUCUAGCCUUACUUGAUCCUCAUGUCCCUUUAGUCUUGUUUGAGUCCACGCAUGCCAUGUCCUCAUCAAACAUCCAUCACACACAAGAAACUAUACUCCCCUACUAAUCUUAGCAAAUAAAAAC